CCCUGGUUCCCCUCUUCUCUUCCUUGACCACUUUUCUGCCUGGCUACCCUAUUUCCUCUCUUCUAACAUCCCAUCUCUAAUUCUCGGGGACUUCAAUAUUCCUAUAAACCCACCUUUGACCUCUGCAGCCAAUAAACUACUUUCAAUUACUUCCUCCCUCGGGCUAUCACAGUGGGCAAAUUCUCCCACCCAUGUAGCUGGCAAUACCCUUGAC